UACGGAGGGGGCUAGCGUUAUUCGGAAUUACUGGGCGUAAAGCGCGCGCAGGCGGUCCUUCAAGUCAGGGGUGAAAGCCCAGAGCUCAACUCUGGAACUGCCCUUGAGACUGUAGGACUAGGGUACGGGAGAGGUGAGUGGAAUUCCGAGUGUAGAGGUGAAAUUCGUAGAUAUUCGGAAGAACACCAGUGGCGAAGGCGGCUCACUGGCCCGUUACCGACGCUCAGGCGCGACAGCGUGGGGAGCAAACAGG
rnacentral:rRNA from 1 species